CCUACGGGAGGCAGCAGUGGGGAAUAUUGCACAAUGGGGGAAACCCUGAUGCAGCGACGCCGCGUGAGUGAAGAAGUAUUUCGGUAUGUAAAGCUCUAUCAGCAGGGAAGAGAAUGACGGUACCUGAGUAAGAAGCCCCGGCUAACGACGGGCCAGCAGCCGCGGUAAUACGUAGGGGGCAAGCGUUAGCCGGAUUUACUGGGUGUAAAGGGAGCGUAGACGGCAUGGCAAGUCUGAAGUGAAAGCCCGGGGCUCAACCGCGGGACUGCUUUGGAAACUGUUAAGCUGGAGUGCAGGAGAGGUCAGUGGACUUCCUAGUUUAGCGGUGCACUGCGUAGUUAUUAGGUGGAACCCCAGUGGCGAAGGCGGCUUACUGGACUGUAACUGACGUUGAGGCUCGCAAGCGUGGGGAGCAAACAGGAUUAGAUACCCUUGUAGUC
rnacentral:rRNA from 1 species